rnacentral:lncRNA from 1 species
GUGACAUGGAAUUCAUUGCACCAGUCCUUGAAAAUGGAGAGAUCCGAACAGGUUGGGUGGAAAAUGCAGUCUGGUUUUAUAAGGUGUUAAAUCAUCUGCUUUUGCUACUGAAAAUGGAAGAUCUCUUCAGAUUUUGUUGAGACAAAAAAAUAAGCAAACAAACCUCUGUUUACAAAGCAGGAAAUGUCUUUAUCACUUUACUGAACAUGGAGGAAGCAACUAUGAUGAAAAGAAAGUGCUUAGCCUUACUAACAAGGAGCAUUUUAGUAGAUUAACUAGUACCAUCUUGUAAGGAAAAUGAAGCCAUGUUGCAUCCAGAUGUUCCCAUUUGCUGAAAUCUCAUGGGACAGUACAAACAUUCUGCAUUUUUAAGUUUGUUAAAACAACAAAUUCCUUUUUGCCUUUAAGGGCUAUGGUUUUUGGUGUGAUCCUAAGCUAACUUUCUUUCAAAAUCAAGUUUGCUAUUUCAGAGCUUUAAUGUUGACAUUUAAAAAAAUUGAAUAACCAUGUGAAACAAUUCUGGCUUAAAGAUAGGAUAUAUGUUAUAGGAUAAUGAGUAAGGGAUGAAAAAGCUUUUAUCUCUAAUUUUCCUGAUGUACUCUACAAAGGUUCUCCUGCAACAGUUUUGCCCUGAUUACUGAAGUGGCAAAUAGAGUGGGAGUGAAUAUUUUGUUUUGAAAAGGUGCUCAAGCUCUGACAUUUUUAGUUUUCAUAGCCGUGAAGUAUUUAUCAUUUGCAUGACUAAUGGCACAGAAAUACCUAUUCAGAGUUUUACAAUCAAGUGUAAAUGAUUUUUUUCAAUUUUAAGCUUCAGAGUUUUAAAUACUAAAGAGUUUACCUUGAGUUGGCCCUCUGUAGAUAAAUUUGGCUUUCAAAAAUGCAACAUCAUUGAGCCUGUGGUCUACUUGCCACCUUGCAUUUCAUUGGUGUCACAAUCUCAUGCAGUAGCUAGUCUUUUGUUAGGUAAUUGAGAAGAUGUGUGCUAUAUGUGUGCAUAUGUAUGUUAUUUGCCUUCUAAAACUUGACACAAACUUGAGAGACACUAGCCUCUUCUAAAAAUCUGUACUUAGAUGUGUCUGAAAGAUUAUAUUAGCUUUAUUUCUGAAAUGAUGUUAGAACAAUUUUGAAUUGAACAAAUUCCCAUGUUUUAUGUAAUUAAUUUAUAUCAGAGUAUUUAGUGACUGACAAAAAUUCAGCAGAUAGACAAGACAGGUCAGAUUAUUCUCAAGCAAAUUUCCUCUUUUCUGAGAAAAUGGAAGGAAUGUACAUGUAAAAGUCAAUAUUUAGUCUUCAACUUUUCUGUAUUUUUAGUCUCAAGUUACUUUCUUUUAUGUAGACUUCAUUACCCUCAAUUUUGAAGCACCUUGUUCAUAUAAAAUUUCAGUCCUUUAUACUGAACCCAAUUUUAAGACCUAAGUAUCCAGGAGAAUUGAAGAUAUCAAGAAUACCACUUAUCUCCUGUGUAGAAGUAUGUGCCAGUGGAUUAAAUUUCACAUCCUAUAACUUUUUAAAAUUUCCCUAUUUUACAUAUUUCCAGAUUCAGAUAAUUGAAUAGCAUUGAUAGUUCAAAAUGCAUUUAGGUGUACUCUGUAAAGAUCCUACAGUCAUGCCAUAGAUUGCUAUGCAGACGAUAGAAAUGGGCAAAAAUAGCAGGAGGGAUCUUGCAAAAUCUAAAGAGCAAAGAAUUAUCUAAAAUUUCAAUCAUGUAGUUAAGAAUUUGUUACAUAAAAAGUCAGAUGGGCCUUUUGAUGUCCACAUCUUUAGUAAUCAGUGAAUUGGCCACCUGGUCGUGUGUUUCAUCACAGUCCUACGUGUUUAGUGACAAAACAACAUCUAUUGUCACACACAAAAAUGUGAAUGCUGUUGUGCUCUCUGUCUUGUGGUUCUCAAAUUCUGAUGCUUUCUUGGUAUUUCAUCUGAUGAGAACAUAGUUUGGCUUGAUUGAAUGAGAUGUUGGCAAAAAGUUUGAGAACAGGAAGACUAACCUUAAGGGGCCACGUGAAAGAAUUAGUGGCCAUCUUUUCCAGCAAAGGUUAGUAACCUUGGCUCACUCUCUUUUGUACCCUGAUCAGACUAGCAAUUAUUGUCAAUGGAAAUUUUUCUAACAUGCCUUAAAAAUAUUAUUGUUUGAUCCAAAGACCCACUUUUACUUUAGCUGUUCUUGUAAGGUUUUAUACUUUCUUACAAAAACGGCAUUUUUUUUAAGUUUUACUGAUUUUUCCUUUAAUGUUGCAAGUUUAAUUCUUGUAAGCUGUAAUAGUGAUGGUAACUGUUGCCUUUCAUUUUGUUCAGCCUGUGCAGAACCAAGCCAGCAUCUAUCUGAUCAAAAGUAUUACACAAAAGUCUUUCUUAAACAUUUGAAAGGUGCUUUGAUCACAUUUUUCUUUGGUUUAUACAAUUAGAAUUAGUUUUUCUGACUAGUAGAACCACAGUUGCCAUCACUUAUUUAUGGGAAAACUACUGGUAUCUGCUCUCCUGUGUAAAGAAUGUUGCCUAAAGAUGUCUGCCAUUUGUUUUUUCAGAGGAUUGUAUGUAUGUGAGACUAUGUGUGCAUGUGUGUACGUAUGUGGAUUUUUAUUAUUGUUAUUAUUUUGUUCUGAUCAGUGUCCUAUCUUGGCACUGAUUAGGCUUUAAUUGUGAAGCUCCCCAACCAAUCAAAUGUUAAAAGAUGAUGGGAGGUUUUUGUUUUUGUUUUUGUUUUUUCUGUUUUUCUGUGUCAUUGUGCAUAUGUUAAAUCUCGAUCAGGGUUUCAAGAGUGACUGCAGUGGGUUUUGGAAACAGACUUAACAUUAUUGAUUUGGGGUUUCCCAGAGAUUAAUUAAAGAUAGUUCACAGUUAAUUGUUGAGCUCUAAUACAACUGACCAUUUAAAAUUGAACAACAGUUUAUUGUUUUGUAACAGUGUCAGUUGUUAAACCUCGCUGUUUGGGAU